CAUGCCUCCUAGGCUCCACCCUGCCUAGAAAGCCCCUCCCCACCACACCCCCUCAUCCUCAUCAUGCCAACUCAGCCUGCCCUCAGCAACCCCAGUCCACACGAGCCUGCCUCCAGGAAGCUUCCUGGACCUUUCUUCUGCCACCCCCCUCCACCGCAGGCAGACGAUACUCCCUCCACACCAUUUCCUCUGAGUCAACGACCAGCCCAGCGAGUGGCAUGGAGGAGCCCGGCUGAAUAACGUGAGAAGCAAAAGCCCUGACUACAGAAAACGCACUCCCCAUGGUAAUGGAUAAAUGAGCCCUGUGGGAUCUUCCUACGAGAGGCCAUUGCCACCCAGAGCCCCAGAGUCUCCAGGCUCCCAGUUCAGUCUCCACCGUGCAGCCCACAUCUUCAGGUCAGGGAAGUUUCUCUGGUUUACGGACCUCCAGCAGGAUCUCGGGCCCAGCCUCUGCUCUAAAGAUGCACAGAGGAAAAAGUGCUGGGCCAGGUCUCAAGGACCACCCAGGGCACCCGUCAACAGGUGAAGCCAAGCCGAGGAGAGGGCUGAGAAGGCACACACAAAGGCACAGGGAUGAGGAGCAGUGGAGUCUUCUGGGACUCCGAGAGCCCUGUGUGGUCAGAGCAUCAGCGGCAAGGCAGCAGGUCAGCAGAAGCAGGAUCACAUACCCAUAACCUCACUCCCUGGCUGGCUGGAAGUCGGCACGCUGGCCCCUCUGGUAGGCAGUUCUCCCACCCUCCAAGUCAGCAGCUGGAGUAUGCACAGGGACAGGCACCCCCACUGAUGCUGUGGGGCGCCCCGUAGAGGUUCCAGCACUUUCCCCACAGCAGUAGGCUGAGUUUGGGCUUCCCCUCCCCUCCUCCUUCUCUCCCUCCCUCCCUUCUUCUUUGCAGGAACUGAGAGCCCCCUUUUACAGCCCCUCACUGCAGGCCCCAAGGGAGCCUGAGGCUGCCAGAAAUGACUGCUAAUACUUCCAGCCACAUUUACUGAAACCUUUUGACACUGGAGGAUAUUUUUAUGAGAUAAGUGCCCUGUGUCGGUACCAACUGGCAAGUUUCAUUGCUCACAUUUCAGUCCUGCAAAAAGCCUUUUUCAAUCACUGUCCGUGGCAACGAUAAACUUUAAUGGCUGAGGGAAAGCCUGCAGCUCAGGCGCUCUGUCCUUCCUGCCUCCCUGCCCCACACCAGCCAAACUCCCUCCCUUCUCUCUGCUGGGCCAGAGGCCGAAGCACAGGGGCCAAUAGAGUUGGGAGAGACAUCAUCCACCCCCACCUCACCUCCUUUAUUUUCCAACUUUGGUAGAUCGCAGGCUCUGGAGGCAUAGGAGAAACACCAGGGAAUCAAGAGAGGCCAAAACCCAGCCCAGUACAGAAGCAGACUCUCUGGGGUGGCUCCAGGGCACCAGCGUUUUAAAAAGCUCCCCAGUGGAUUCCAUCGGGCAGGGGGCGUUGAGAACAGCUGCGCCUCCUCCUGGAAAGGUCACCCUGCAUCUCAAGUGGACAGAGACUCACCCACCUUGCACAGUACCCGCUCUGGAAAUGAAGGCAGGAUGUGAAAUAAAGGACCAGCGAGCUAAGUCUGACUCCAAGAGCCUGGCUAUUUUUUCUCAGGCAUCCUUAGCCAACCUGCCUGUGGUUAUGCCAAAGUCCAGGGAUCUAAGGCUGAGGGUCCUGGGGACAGUCAGUCAGAACUGACAGUGGGACUUUGUCUCUCUCAGUGAGGCCCAGGCCUGCCUGGGGGCUCUCAGGGGGAGGGUCACUAGCACCCAGAACCCACAAUCAAGAGGCUGGUGGACUGUUUAAAGAAACUGUCUGAAUUGCAAUUUUUUUUUUUUGAGAUGGAGUCUCACUCUGUCGCCCAAGCCUGAGUGUAGUGGCGUGAUCUCAGCUCACUGCAACCUUCGCCUCCUGGGUUCAAGCAAUUCUUCUAAGUGCCUGCCACUGUGCCCGGCUAAUUUUUGUAUUUUUACUAGAGAUCGUGUUUCACCAUGUUGUCCAGGCUGGUCUCGAACUCCUGACCUCAAGUAAUCCACCUGCCUCAGCCUCCCAAAGUGUUGGGAUUACAGGAAUGACCCACUGCGCCCGGCCCUGAAUUGCAUUAAAAAAAGUUUAUUCCCCCAUGUUGUCUGGCCCCAAAUCCUGCCAUGGAGAACUGGCUUCAAUAAAUGCCCCCUCUGCCAUUCAUCACUUGAGUCUCACUUCCCUCUCCUGCCUCAGCUCAUACCAUUUAUUACACCCACAGUCUCCAAAUGAACAACUUCUGCAACUUACAAACAUACUUGAGAGCUCCACCUGUCCUCCCCAAUCCAUCAAGGCAACAAAAUUCAUUUCUCCUUGGGAGCCUAAAGAAGCCCAGGCUUGGGGACUAAUUAAGCAUUUCCUUUGAAAUGCAUGCAUGCUGUAGAUUGCUGAGGGUGAACUCCAACCUCUAAUAAAAUAGGAACCAGAUGCCAGGAACAGGAGGUGCACAGCAUCCUGCUAUCAUGGCCAUCACCCAGGAGGGACCCGGCGAGGGGCAGCACAGCCUCUGGAGGGCUCUGGCUAAUGUCAAAGUUCAGGUUCACAGCACCAGCUGGAAUUUUUAUUUUGGCCAUCAUCUACAACAAGGAAUGAGUGCCUCCUGACACCCCCAUGAGCACACCAUACCUCCAGCCUUCAUUCCCCCUUCCCUCCUUAUUUUGCACACUCUGGGGAAUCUGGCUGGAGCUCUAAUUCUCCUGCAAAGCCUUCCUGAAAUACUCAAACCUUGAAGGGACUGUUUCCCCUCCCACUACACCCGAUGAGUACUGCAAAGAUACAGCCCUUGGCCACAGAGUGUCAAUUAUUAUAAUAUUAACCACCA
rnacentral:lncRNA from 10 species